rnacentral:ncRNA from 1 species
UGAAUAUGUCCUUAAGAGAAACAGAUUCGAGCGGAAUCUGGAGGUUGAAAAGCGGAUGCAAUUUCCGGCAUAUUCA